rnacentral:rRNA from 1 species
GAUGAACGCUGGCGGCGUGCCUAAUACAUGCAAGUCGAGCGAACAGACGAGGAGCUUGCUCCUCUGACGUUAGCGGCGGACGGGGGAGUAACACGUGGAUAACCUACCUAUAAGACUGGGAUAACUUCGGGAAACCGGAGCUAAUACCGGAUAAUAUAUUGAACCGCAUGGUUCAAUAGUGAAAGACGGUUUUGCUGUCACUUAUAGAUGGAUCCGCGCCGCAUUAGCUAGUUGGUAAGGUAACGGCUUACCAAGGCAACGAUGCGUAGCCGACCCGAGAGGGUGAUGGGCCACACUGGAACUGAGACGCGGUCCAGACUCCUACGGGAGGCAGCAGUAGGGAAUCUUCCGCAAUGGGCGAAAGCCUGACGGGGCAACGCCGCGUGAGUGAUGAAGGUCUUCGGAUCGUAAAGCUCUGUUAUUAGGGAAGAACAAAUGUGUAAGUAACUAUGCACGUCUUGACGGUACCUAAUCAGAAAGCCACGGCUAACUACGUG